GCAGAGUCUCCAGCGGACGCUACCUGGAGUUUAGCCCUUACAGAUGUCAAAACUGGUUUACGGGCAAUUACACAAAAACUCAAGGAGAAUAUGAAAUGGUUUUCAUUCCCUCAACAAACCCCCAGAAAUAAUUGGCAGCUGUUUGGGUGACUAUCUGGAGACUCUGACAUGAAUAUGCAAGACCAUUCGCUCAGAAGUGGGAGGCGCAGGCUUUUCUUCAUCCAUAAGAACCAGAUGGGGUGAAAUUGAGAUGCUUCAAAUCACCCAAAAGAAUGUGGCUGAGAGGUGUACCCCGAGGACUGCACCCUUCCCUAAUGAUCAUAGUCUCCAUGUUGUUAAAAAGGCAAUCUGAACAGA